rnacentral:rRNA from 1 species
CGUAGGUGGCGAGCGUUGUCCGGAUUUACUGGGCGUAAAGAGCGCGCAGGCGGUCGUCCAAGUCGCGUGUGAAAGCCCCCGGCUCAACUGGGGAGGGUCACGCGAUACUGAUCGACUCGAAGGCAGGAGAGGGUAGUGGAAUUCCCGGUGUAGUGGUGAAAUGCGUAGAUAUCGGGAGGAACACCAGUGGCGAAAGCGACUACCUGGCCUGUUCUUGACGCUGAGGCGCGAAAGCUAGGGGAGCAAACGGGAUU